rnacentral:rRNA from 1 species
UGGGGAAUCUUGGACAAUGGGCGCAAGCCUGAUCCAGCCAUGCCGCGUGAGUGAAGAAGGCCUUAGGGUUGUAAAGCUCUUUUGGCAGGGACGAUAAUGACGGUACCUGCAGAAUAAGCCCCGGCAAACUUCGUGCCAGCAGCCGCGGUAAUACGAAGGGGGCUAGCGUUGUUCGGAUUUACUGGGCGUAAAGCGCAAGUAGGCGGAUUGUUAAGUCAGGGGUGAAAUCCCGGAGCUCAACUCCGGAACUGCCUUUGAUACUGGCAAUCUUGAGGCUGGAAGAGGUUGGUAGAAUUCCCAGUGUAGAGGUGAAAUUCGUAGAUAUUGGGAAGAAUACCAGUGGCGAAGGCGGCCAACUGGUCCAGAUCUGACGCUGAGGUGCGAAAGCGUGGGGAGCAAACA